rnacentral:rRNA from 1 species
UACGUAGGGUGCAAGCGUUUAAUCGGAAUUACUGGGCGUAAAGCGUGCGCAGGCGGUUUUGUAAGUCUGACGUGAAAUCCCCGGGCUCAACCUGGGAAUUGCGUUGGAGACUGCAAGGCUGGAGUCUGGCAGAGGGGGGGUAGAAUUCCACGUGUAGCAGUGAAAUGCGUAGAGAUGUGGAGGAACACCGAUGGCGAAGGCAGCCCCCUGGGUCAAGACUGGACGCUCAUGCACGAAAGGCGUGGGGAGCAAACAGG